GUCCAGCCUGCCCAGUGAUAUAAUUCAACGGCCGCGGUACCCUAACCGUGCGAAGGUAGCAUAAUCACUUGUUCUUUAAAUAAGGACUUGUAUCAACGGCAUCACGAGGACUGUACUGUCUCCUUUCUCCAAUCAGUGAAACUGAUCUCCCCGUGAAGAAGCGGGGAUUAACCUAUAAGACGAGAAGACCCCAUGGAGCUUAAAGCCCACACAACUCUAUGCAUUUAAAUCAAUAUAGCCCAAGAAACCUGCAAACGGCUUUAGGUUGGGGGGACCGCGGAGUAAAACCUAACCUCCACGACAAACGGGCAUACGCCCUUAUCCAAGAAUGACAAUUCUAAGAAUCAAUAAACUGAUGUUUAAUGACCCGAUUAUUCGAUCAACGAACCAAGUUACCCUGGGGAUAACAGCGCAAUCUACUUCAAGAGCCCCUAUCAACAAGUAGGUUUACGACCUCGAUGUUGGAUCAGGGUAUCCUAGUGGUGCAGCCGCUACUAAAGGUUCGUUUGUUCAACGAUUAAAACCCUACGUGAUCUGAU
rnacentral:rRNA from 1 species